CAUUCAUUUAUCUCUCCUACUUGUGCUCAACGUUUAAACUUGACUCCGGAGAAAUUAGACUUUGAUUUAUCUGUGAAGACUCCAUUAGGAGAAACUUUCAUCACAUCCACUGUUUAUAAAUCUUGUUUGAUCCAAGUUGGCACCAUCACAUUACCUGUUGACCUUAUCUCUUUAAAGAUACUUGCUUUUGAUGUGAUUUUAGGGAUUG
rnacentral:lncRNA from 1 species